rnacentral:rRNA from 1 species
AGAGUUUGAUCGUGGCUCAGGAUGAACGCUAUCGGCGCGCUUAAUGCAUGCAAGUCGAGCGAUGAGGCUCCUUCGGGAGUACAUCAGCGGCAGACGGGUGAGUAACACGUAGGUGACCUGCCCCCGAGACCGGGAUAACGGGUGGAAACACACGCUAAUACCGGAUGACCUCCAGGGAUCACAGCCUGGAGGAAAGCUCCGGCGCUUGGGGAGGGGCCUGCGGCCCAUCAGCUAGUUGGUGCGGUAACGGCGCACCAAGGCGAAGACGGGUAGGGGGUGUGAGAGCAUGACCCCCCACAAUGGGACUGAGACACGGCCCAUACUCCUACGGGAGGCAGCAGCAGGGAAUAUUGCGCAAUGGGCGAAAGCCUGACGCAGCGACGCCGCGUGAAUGAAAGGCCUUCGGGUUGUAAAAUUCUUUUCUGGGGGAAGAGGAAGGACGGUACCCCAGGAAUAAGCGUCGGCUAACUACGUGCCAGCAGCCGCGGUAAUACGUAGGACGCGAGCGUUAUCCGGAUUUAUUGGGCGUAAAGCGUCUGUAGGCGGCUGAGUAAGUUGGGCGUGAAAGCUCCGGGCUUAACCCGGAGAGGCCGUUCAAUACUGCUCGGCUAGAGGGGGUCAGAGGGGCGUGGAAUUUCCGGUGUAGCGGUAAAAUGCGCAGAUAUCGGAAGGAACACCAGUGGCGAAGGCGGCGCCCUGGGGCCGCCCUGACGCUGAGAGACGAAAGCUAGGGGAGCGAACAGGAUUAGAGACCCUGGUAGUCCUAGCCCUAAACGAUGGAUGCUAGGUGUGGGGCCGAGAAGGCUCUGUGCCGCAGCAAACGCGAUAAGCAUCCCGCCUGAGGACUACGGCCGCAAGGUUAAAACUCAAACGAAUUGACGGGGACCCGCACAAGCAGCGGAGCGUGUGGUUUAAUUCGAUUCUACACGAAGAACCUUACCUGGGUUUGACAUCACUGUGGUAGUGAAGCGAAAGCUAAGCGACCCUUCGGGGAGCAGUGACAGGUGCUGCAUGGCUGUCGUCAGCUCGUGCCGUGAGGUGUCGGGUUAAGUCCCGUAACGAGCGCAACCCUUGCCCUUAGUUAUACGUGUCUAAGGGGACUGCCGGCGGGAAGCCGGAGGAAGGUGGGGAUGACGUCAAGUCAGCAUGGCCCUUAUGUCCAGGGCUACACACACGCUACAGUGGGCGGUACAAUGGGCAGCCAAGCCGUGAGGCGGAGCGAAUCCCAUCAAAGCCGUUCGUAGUUCGGAUAGCAGGCUGCAACUCGCCUGCUUGAAGCUGGAGUUGCUAGUAACCGCGCGUCAGCUAUAGUGCGGUGAAUACGUUCCCGGGUCUUGUACACACCGCCCGUCACGUCAUGGGAGUCGGUAACGCCUGAAGCCGGUAGCUGAACCUUAACAGGGGGGCGCCGUCGAAGGCGGGACUGGCGACUGGGGC